CAAUUACUCAAGGGAACACCAGACCACCGGAUGGAGUCACCGUGUACCCAGGUAAUUACACUUGCUAUACAAUACACAGAGCCACAGGUAGAUUUGUAGGCAAAUUUCCUUCUGGUUACUGUACAACUUACCGGAAUCCACUCACAUCAUUAUUGGUAAAUCAGAUUAAGUCUGUGGGGGAUAUUUAUUGGUUAUGUGGAGACAUGCAACUCAGACCAAAAAUGGCUGGGUUAUGGUGGGGAGAAUGUACUCUAACUAAAGUUAUCAUGCCCAUUCACAUUUUCCCUGAUAACCACCAAGGUCCAUAUGAUUCCUCAUAUACACAUCUUAGAGUGAAAAGAGACAGUCCUAUACAAGGUAGUUUUGACCCACACGUAUAUAUAGAUGCUACUGGAUGCUAGGUAGCAGAGUAAAGAGUUCAAGGCCAGAGAUGAAAUGGCAGCAGGAUUCAAAUCCUUGGUCCCACUUAUCACUGCUGAUAAAAAUGUCAACUGGAUUAAUUACAUCUACUACAACCAACAACGCUUUGUCAACUACAAUCGAGAUGCCCUGCAGGGCUUAGCUGAACAGUUACAGGCUACCUCCCACAUGACAUUCCAAAAUAGGAUAGCCUUAGACAUGAUUUUGGCCGAAAAGGGGGACGUAUGUAAAAUACUCCCUGAGACGAUGACGUGUUGUACUUUUAUCCCAGACAAUACCGGCCCCAAUGGUAAAGUAACUAUGGCCAUAGAGAAAUUAGAAAAUCUCUCUGAUGAAUUAAAGAAGAAUUCAGGGGCUCCCAACUCUUGGGAUAGAUGGUUUGGAUGGAUGAGUGGAUGGCAAAGGACUCUUUUCCAAAUAGGGAUGGCAGUUCUUACCGUAAUGAUCUUCUUCCUCUUCCUAACUUGUUGUGUAGUCCCAUGUGUGCAAAGGUAUUUACAAAAGAACGUAGACCAGACUAUUGACCGCACCACACCCAUUUAUAUACACCAAGAUGCUACUGAUCUAGGCUGUGACACUCCACACACACCACUACAGUCCCAUCAUGUCAAACAGACAACUACUACCACCUCAUAGGGACAGUAUAGGGAUAUCGUCUGUCUCUACGGGCAGGAGUCUGACACAGGAGAUGUAGUGGGUUAGCCGCUGCGGGAUACCUACGCAGUGAAGUGUUCGAGGCCUGUUAAGACAGAUGAGCUACAGCCAAAUUAGGGACAUUAUUAGGGUCAGCUGGUAGUUGGCUGUCUUUUCUUACUUUCGUAAAUAGCCAUUUUAAGGGGGGACUGUUGUGGACAGAAAUAUUAA